AUUGAACGCUGGCGGCAUGCCUAACACAUGCAAGUCGAACGGGGCAGCAAUGCCUAGUGGCGGACGGGUGAGGAAUACGUAGGAAUCUGCCCUUAAGUGGGGGAUAACCAGGGGAAACCCUGACUAAUACCGCAUGAUCUCUUCGGAGCAAAGAGGGGGACCGCAAGGCCUCUCGCUUCUGGAUGAGCCUACGUCUGAUUAGCUAGUUGGUAGGGUAAAGGCCUACCAAGGCGACGAGCAGUAACUGGUCUGAGGGGAUGAUCAGUCACACCGGAACUGAGACGCGGUCAGGACUCCUGCGGGAGGCAGCGGUGGGGAAUAUUGGACAAUGGGCGCAAGCCUGAUCCAGCAAGGCCGCGUGUGUGAAGAAGGCCUUCGGGUUGUAAAGCACUUGAGCCUGGAAAGAAAAAACUUUGGUUAACACCCAAAGUCUUGACGGUACCGGGAGAAUAAGCUCCGGCUAACUUCGUGCCAGCCGCCGCGGUAAAAC
rnacentral:rRNA from 1 species